AAGGAAGGACAGAGAUCAGUAAGAACUGCUAAUUCUUAUGCACCGCGGUUAAACUCCGCGGCUUCCUUA
rnacentral:tRNA from 1 species